rnacentral:rRNA from 1 species
CCCUACGGGGGGCAGCAGUCGGGAAUAUUGCGCAAUGGAGGAAACUCUGACGCAGUGACGCCGCGUGCAGGAAGAAGGUUUUCGGAUUGUAAACUGCUUUAGAUAGGGAAGAAAAAAAUGACAGUACCUAUAGAAUAAGCUCCGGCUAACUACGUGCCAGCAGCCGCGGUAAUACGUAGGGAGCGAGCGUUAUCCGGAUUUAUUGGGUGUAAAGGGUGCGUAGGCGGCCUGCUAAGUCUGGAGUGAAAGGUACCGGCUCAACCGGUACAGGCUCUGGAAACUGGCGGGCUAGAGAGCAGGAGAGG